CAGCAGCCGCGGUAAUACGGAGGGUGCAAGCGUUAAUCGGAAUUACUGGGCGUAAAGCGCACGCAGGCGGUCUGACAAGUCAGAUGUGAAAUCCCCGGGCUUAACCUGGGAACUGCAUUUGAAACUGUCAGGCUGGAGUCUUGUAGAAGGGGGUAGAAUUCCAGGUGUAGCGGUGAAAUGCGUAGAGAUCUGGAGGAAUACCGGUGGCGAAGGCGGCCCCCUGGACAAAGACUGACGCUCAGGUGCGAAAGCGUGGGGAGCAAACAGGAUUAGAUACCCCUGUAGUCCCUGUCUCUUAUAC
rnacentral:rRNA from 1 species